GAUGAACGCUAGCGGCAGGCUUAAUACAUGCAAGUCGAGGGACAGCACAGGUAGCAAUACUGGGUGGUAACCGGCAAACGGGUGCGGAACACGCACACAACCUUCCUUUAAGUGGGGGAUAGCCCAGAGAAAUUUGGAUUAAUACCCCGUAAUAUAGUUGAAUGGCAUCAUUUGAUUAUUAUAGCUACGGCGCUUAAUGAUGGGUGUGCGGCUGAUUAGAUAGUUGGCGGGGUAACGGCCCACCAAGUCUACGAUCAGUAGCUGAUGUGAGAGCAUGGUCAGCGACACGGGAACUGAGACACGGGCCCGACUCCUACGGGAGGCAGCAGUAAGGAAUAUUGGUCAAUGGACGCAAGUAUGAACCAGCCAUGCCGCGUAAAGGAUUAAGGUCCUCUGGAUUGUAAACUUCUUUUAUUUGGGACGAAAAAGGGCCUUUCUAGGUCAACUGACGGUACCAGAUGAAUAAGCACCGGCUAACUCCGUGCCAGCAGCCGCCGUAACAC
rnacentral:rRNA from 1 species